rnacentral:sRNA from 1 species
CUGUUGGUCUUGAAGAUUGAAGUCUCCCAUUUAUCUAAAGAACAGGUACAGAAUGGGCAGUGGUAUAGCAUACUUACCACAAUGCUCUCCCCAUCUACCUUACACCUGGUGUGGAAGGGGCAAAGGGGAAUUCGGUCUCCAUGGUCCUCUCCCUCCUUGGUCAUU